rfam:Devosia soli strain GH2-10 NODE_14, whole genome shotgun sequence.
CGGUCUGCAGCUCACCGAGGCGUCACCGUCCCAAUUGGGAUGCUAAACCUGCCA